GGGGAAAGAUUUAUCGGUAUCGGAUUAGCCCGCGUAAGAUUAGAUAGUUGGUGGGGUAAUGGCCUACCAAGUCUACGAUCUUUAGCUGGUUUUAGAGGAUGAUCAGCAACACUGGGACUGAGACACGGCCCAGACUCCUACGGGAGGCAGCAGUGGGGAAUCUUAGACAAUGGGCGCAAGCCUGAUCUAGCCAUGCCGCGUGAGUGAAGAAGGCCUUAGGGUCGUAAAACUCUUUCGCCAGAGAUGAUAAUGACAGUAUCUGGUAAAGAAACCCCGGCUAACUCCGUGCCAGCAGCCGCGGUAAUACGGAGGGGGUUAGCGUUGUUCGGAAUUACUGGGCGUAAAGCGCACGUAGGCGGACUGGAAAGUUGGGGGUGAAAUCCCGGGGCUCAACCUCGGAACUGCCUCCAAAACUAUCAGUCUAGAGUUCGAGAGAGGUGAGUGGAAUUCCAAGUGUAGAGGUGAAAUUCGUAGAUAUUUGGAGGAACACCAGUGGCGAAGGCGGCUCACUGGCUCGAUACUGACGCUGAGGUGCGAAAGUGUGGGGAGCAAACAGGAUUAGAUACCCUGGUAGUCCACACCGUAAACGAUGAAUGCCAGUCGUCGGCAAGUAUACUUGUCGGUGACACACCUAACGGAUUAAGCAUUCCGCCUGGGGAGUACGGUCGCUAGAUUAAAACUCAAAGGAAUUGACGGGGGCCCGCACAAGCGGUGGAGCAUGUGGUUUAAUUCGAAGC
rnacentral:rRNA from 1 species